GAUGAACGCUGGCGGCGUGCCUAAUACAUGCAAGUCGAGCGAACAGACGAGGAGCUUGCUCCUCUGACGUUAGCGGCGGACGGGUGAGUAACACGUGGAUGACCUACCUAUAAGACUGGGAUAACUUCGGGAAACCGGGGCUAAUACCGGAUAAUAUAUUGAACCGCAUGGUUCAAUAGUGAAAGACGGUUUUGCUGUCACUUAUAGAUGGAUCCGCGCCGCAUUAGCUAGUUGGUAAGGUAACGGCUUACCAAGGCAACGAUGCGUAGCCGACCUGAGAGGGUGAUCGGCCACACUGGAACUGAGACACGGUCCAGACUCCUACGGGAGGCAGCAGUAGGGAAUCUUCCGCAAUGGGCGAAAGCCUGACGGAGCAACGCCGCGUGAGUGAUGAAGGUCUUCGGAUCGUAAAACUCUGUUAUUAGGGAAGAACAAAUGUGUAAGUAACUAUGCACGUCUUGACGGUACCUAAUCAGAAAGCCACGGCUAACUACGUG
rnacentral:rRNA from 1 species